rnacentral:lncRNA from 1 species
CAGAGUCAGGGGGAGUUUGUUGCAAAGAGUAGUGGGGUGGAAUCGUGGCUAUCACCGGGACACGCCACGUGGAGUCUGUCACGGGGAGUGGAGCGGCGUCCGUUGUCGCGACUUGCCAGAGGAUGGAAGAAUCGUGCGGUAUCCAUCACAGGAAGCGGAGCAGGAUCGUGGGCAUCAUAGCGGUCUGUCAGGGAGUAAUGGAGCCGCACGAAAUCCAUCGCAGGAAGUGGAGCAGGAUCGUGGCCGUU